rnacentral:rRNA from 1 species
GUGUCAGCCGCCGCGGUAAUACGGGGGGAGCAAGCGUUGUUCGGAUUUACUGGGCGUAAAGGGCGCGUAGGCGGCGUGACAAGUCACUUGUGAAAUCUCCGGGCUUAACCCGGAGCGGCCAAGUGAUACUGUCGUGCUAGAGUGCGGAAGGGGCUACUGGAAUUCUCGGUGUAGCGGUGAAAUGCGUAGAUAUCGAGAGGAACACCUGCGGCGAAGGCGGGUAGCUGGGCCGACACUGACGCUGAGGCGCGAAAGCCAGGGGAGCGAACGGGAUUAGAUACCCCGGUAGUCCUGGCCUUAAACGAUGGAUACUUGGUGUCCGGGGUUACAUAGUCCCCGGGUGCCGGCGCUAACGCAUUAAGUAUCCCGCCUGGGGAGUACGGUCGCAAGACUGAA